CACGUCAGCGCGCUUUGCUGACGUGGCAACAAAUCGCGUCUUCGAGGGGGCGAUUUGUUGCCACGUCAACAACAAAUCACGCUGACGUGG
rfam:Gossypium raimondii Chr07_contig_84, whole genome shotgun sequence.